rnacentral:rRNA from 1 species
AAUACGACCUUCGGGGGAAAGGCGCUUCGGCGCCGUCGUACGAUGAGCCUGCGGCGCAUUAGUUAGUUGGCGGGGUACAAGCCCACCAAGGCGACGAUGCGUAGCCGACCUGAGAGGGUGAUCGGCCACACUGGGACUGAGAUACGGCCCAGACUCCUACGGGAGGCAGCAGCUAAGAAUCUUCCGCAAUGGACGAAAGUCUGACGGAGCGACGCCGCGUGGGCGAGGAAGGCCGAAAGGUUGUACAGCCCUUUUCUGCGUGAGGAAUACUCAUCGGAGGCAAUGCCGGUGUGAUGACGGUAGCGCAGGAAUAAGCCCCGGCCAAUUACGUGCCAGCAGCCGCGGUAACACGUAUGGGGCGAGCGUUGUUCGGAAUUAUUGGGCGUAAAGGGCGCGCAGGCGGUCAUGCAAGCUUGGUGUGAAAGACCACGGCUCAACGGUGGAAACGCGCUGAGAACUGUAUGACUUGAGUUUCGGAGGGGGAACUGGAAUUCCAGGUGUAGGGGUGAAAUCUGUAGAUAUCUGGAAGAACAUCAGUGGCGAAGGCGAGUUCCGGGCCGACAACUGACGCUGAGGCCCGAAAGCCUGGGGAGCGAACAGGAUUAGAUACCCUGGUAGUCCACGCCGUGAACGAUGUGCACUAGCUGUUGGGCUUUCGAAGGCUCAGUGCCGCAAGUUAACACGCUAAGUGCACCGCCUGGGGAGUAUGCCCGCAAGGGUGAAACUCAAAGGCAUUGACGGGGGCCCGCACAAGCGGUGGAGCAUGUGGUUUAAUUCGAUGAUACGCGAGGAACCUUACCAGGGCUUGACAUAUACCGGAAGUCGCAAGAGAUUGCGGCGCCCGUCGGGGAUGGUAUACAGGUGCUGCAUGGCUGUAGUCAGCUCGUGCCGUGAGGUGUUGGGUUAAGUCCCGCAACGAGCGCAACCCCUGUUGUCUGUUGCCAUCAGGUAACGCUGGGAACUCAGACGUAACUGCCGGUGACAAACCGGAGGAAGGUGGGGACGACGUCAAGUCCUUAUGGCCCUUAUGUCCUGGGCUACACACGUGCUACAAUGGCCGGUACAGAGCGAUGCGAUACCGCGAGGUGGAGCAAAUCGCCGAAAGCUGGUCUCAGUUCGGAUUGGAGUCUGAAACCCGACUCCAUGAAGGUGGAAUCGCUAGUAAU